AACAUGGUGUAAAAGCUUAAUAUGUUCAUACAUAUUUUAAAUCAAAUAACUAAAGUAUAAAAUUACUUUUACAAUGACAUGUGGGCCCCCAACUAACCAAUAAGAUACGAGUCUGUGAACCAAUAAUUUUGACAAUGCAAGGCUAACUGAAGUCCUUGAUGCAAUCGGCCAUCUAUCGGCUAUCCCGAACCUGAAAUGUGGGGAAUUGAGGGUGGUGAGAUUAUAAAAUCCCAGUAAGUAAACAAACACCAUCUAAACUAUCUAAAGGCGAGUAAAUGGAGACAAUUAAAAAAUAAUUAACUUCAGCAAAUUUUUCACAUCACGAAUAUUCAUUUCAACCAAAUAACCAAUAUGGCUCAUGAAUUACUCAAAACUUGGCUCAUGCCAAAUCCUGUACUCGGUGACACCUGGACCAGGGGUAUCCAACCGAGCCCGCCAAGGUUGUUAAAAACUCAUAUUUCGCAUAAAUCAUAUUUUUAUUUGAAACAUAGCCGUUCCUUGGUGUUGGCUGAGUCUCACUCUCACUUGGUGGUCCACGUGAAGUGCACUCAAAAAGCCCACCUCAGGAGAUACCCUACGCGCCUCUACGACCGAGGUGAGAAUAUAAAAGAGUUUACCGUGCCCCUCUAAUAGGCUAGCCCACGGAACCCCCCACUACUGCAGUAGCUAAUCUUUUAUCUACCACCUGAUUUAUAAAAUCUUUUUCUGCAUGGCAUGGCAAUUUAUCGCAACCUAGCCUCUCAAGGCUAAAUACAUAGUACAAAUCAUUCUAACACCAAAAUCAGUUUCGCCAUUCAUGCUCAUUUAUUGUCAUAAGCCAUUCAAUUUAAAACCAUAAAUUUACAACACAAGCAGGCAGUUUUCAAUUACUCUAUUUUCAAAACCAGUAUUCGAUUUUCCAGAAAAUUUACAAAAUCAUUUUAUAAAAUCACAAUUUCUCUUAAAACAUUGCAAUUUACCAUUUAAAUCCAUUUUUCAUAAAAUCACACAAUUGUAUAAAACUACUCUAGAUAAUUAAGACGAUAAUAAGUUUACUCACAGUUUUUGAAAACUAAAUUCGGGUACUCCAACUAUUACUCCUCGAGUGCGAUUUCUUUGCCCUUGCCAAAGGAUUCGCCACCUUGACAAAUUGUACAAUUAAGAGGUUUACUACUUUGUUACUAAACCAAAAUAAACUAAUUUAUACUACUAAUGCAUGGUAUGAAGUGCAAAAUGUCUAAAUUUUGCCUAAACGAGAUGUUAGCCUAUUUUGAUCUUUUACCCGAUAAAUCGAUAUACGCGUCCGUUUAAACUCCAAAUUAAUUUUUUUCAAUUUCUAUACCUCAACUGCACCCAAAUUGACUUAAUGUUCCUCAGUGUGGUGCAAAUUAUCAGUCCCGAUAGCAAAUUACAAAAAUACCCCUAGUGGGUAAAAAUUCAUAUUUUUGCUCUGAAAAUUCUCAUUAUUUUUCUAGGCUCAUAAUUCCUCAAAUAAACAUCAAGAUCAGCAGCCAAUAUUCCCCUAGAAAAUUCAGCAUAAUGGGUUUUAAUGGGAGAAAAUUAUUUCUCUAGCUUAUUUUUGCUAUAUUUCAAUAUAACCUAACUAAAAUCACUUAAUUCAAUUAAAAUCAACCAAAACUCAAGCUCAAAACUCAUCCAUGGAGGUUUGGCCAGCAUGGGUGUCCAUACCACUUUCUAAUUUUGCAUGAAAAUGAGAAAAAAAUGCAUGGGUAGUGAAAAUCACAAGGAAAUUCAAUGAAAUUUACCUUUUUAAUGCUUGAUUUCUUGAUUUCUCUUGAUUUUCCCCAAAUUUUUUCAGCUAGGGUUCUUAUUUCUUUUCCCCAUUUUUCUCUCCUGAUUUGGACAGCUGAAGAAGAUGAGAAUUCUGAAAAUUUUGACCUUUUUAAAGGCUAAAAUAAUAUAAUAUUAUUUUAUUCAUUUUUUUUUUGUUUUUUUAUUUCUUAAAUUCUAGCCAUCCAUUUGUUUCCAAAUUUUCACCAUACACUUGUCCCACAUAUCCAUAGCUUAAAUAAAAUUCUCAGACUUAUCCAAAGUCUUGGUGGAGUAAUCUUUUGAAAUUACACUUUUGCCCUCGUAAAAGUCAAAAAUUACAUUUUUGCCCCAAAAACUGAAAAUUUGCCCAUAGACAUAUUUUUCAUCCCUUAUACUCAUACCAUUCUCCAAUUUGUCAAAUGUGAUCUAAAUUCUCUCAAAAUCUCAAAUUUUAUCUACGGGUGGAAAAAUUACGAUUUUGCCCCUACACUCCAAAAAUAACCGAAAUUAACCUUUUUCACUGCCAAACCCUCAAAUUAUACUGCAAUAAGUUUAAUAUAAUCAAUCUUAAUCAAACGGGGUUAAAAACAAUUCCAUAUUCGUCCUCAGGUGGUAAAUUACCAUUUUACCCCUAAAAUACUUAAAGUCCGGAUUAACUCCAUAUCGGACCUUAAACUCUGAAUCCUCAUUUUGGAUCAACUCAUGGGUUUUAGUUUUCUCAAAUUCAUUAUCGAUUCUCUGUUUAAACUAGUUCAAGACUUAUUUAACUGAACCGUACCAUUAGGGGCAAUACAAUCAUUUAACUUGUUUUCUCGGGCAAUUCAAUAUACAAACAUGCUAUCCAAAGCAUGUGAAUGAUAUAUCACAGAUAAUUUAGGGUCGGGUGUUACAGCACUACCCCCCCUUAAAAUAAAAAUUUUGACCUCAAAAUUUCAUUUAUCAAUCUCAAAGAACUAAUCGGGGUAUUAUCUUUUCAUCAUGUCUUAAGUUUAAAUCUUGAACCACCAAGAACCAUUUUUCACUUGAACUGAUCAUAAUAUCAAUCCCUACACAUGUGUGUAUGCCUCAUAAUCCCAUUGGUGCUUCAAAAAUUUAUCUUGACUUGAUCAUUACAUCAUAUGCAAUACCACAAUUUCUUAGAGUCAUCAUUUUGUCCUUAAUCAUCUUUCAUGCCUCUAUAUUACCUUGUAUCUUUCUUGCAUUACGAUAUUGAUUUGUCACUUAAGACUCAAACUCAUUUGAAUCAUGUAUACCUCAAGCAUUUUCGAAUUCCAAUUUUCAUAAUGUAUUAGGAAAAUUUCAUUAUCUAACUUCAUUUUCAAGGUUAACUUCUAUCAUCCUUUGUUCUACUCUUUCAUAUAAAUAUAACAUCAUUCUUCCUUAACCAAUUUACAAAUUGUACCUGAAAUUGUAAAACUUGAAACUAGAUUCUCCUCAAGUAUUUUUCAAUAUUAAUAUGAAUAUCACUUUCAGCUUACAGCUUCCUUUUUAUAAUCACAUAACUUAGUGCUUGCUUUCACGAAAUCCGUAGCAAAACUCUUCUUGAGUAUUUCAUUGGGAAUAUCUAUCUUAGACUUAUGUCUCACAGCAUACGAUCACUUAACUUGUGACUUAGCCGUUAGGCUCCUCAACAAGUUUUAAAAUCACACAUCUUAUACUCAUCUCGUAUAAUGUAUAAUUCUUCCUCAAAGGUAUUUAAAUAUUCUUGAAACACCUAAUCACUUAUUUGCUCUUUCAUACUCCAAGUAUAUCAUUUCCAUAAAGGUAUACCCAACUACUCAUAUUUCAAUUUAUCUCCAAGAGUUUCUAGCAUGUCACCUAGUUUACUUGUGUUGUUACUAAUCCUUUCCUUUCAACAAAGUUAAGACAAGAUCAGUAUAUUCUCAUAACAAUAUUCUAUAUCAACUCAUUUGCUAUAUCAUUAUUGAAAUCUUUAUUUACAUUUUUCCUCACUUGGUAUUGACAUCUCUUAUCAGUAUCUCAUACAUUCAUCUAACCUUUCGCUCGCUUCCUCAUUAGUCUUUAACAAGACUUAAUCUCUUAUCUUCCUUAUUUCUUAAGAUUUGACUUCAGUCAUCAUAUUAUUCAUCUUAACACUCCCCAUGUUAAUUUAUUUUUAUGUAACCAUCUCAAAAACUCUCUAACUUUUCUUUCUCUUACAUGCCAAUAUACAAGGCAAUAAAGAAACUUUACAAUUUCACUCAUCAUCUUUAUCUUAAUACCUCCCCAAUGCACUUAAGAUUCCAAACAACAAAGCUUAGCAUGAAAACCAAUGACCAUUCCUCAACUCGUAAGUUUCAUCUUCAUGCCACUCUCAAUUUGCUCAUGCUUGCUAGCCAUUAGGGGUUCUUAACGCGACAGCGUUUGAUAGUCAGUACUGUGGUGUUGCAACUAUUUGAAUUUACUUUAUCCCAGCAAUUCUUCUACCUUUAAAGCUACUACCUCAAUUAUUCACAAUCGUGUGGCUUCCCUUUGAGUCUAUACCACAAUUAGCAAUACUAACUUUCUAUCACAAGUACGCGAUCAGAACAUUGAUUUAAUGUCUUUAUUUUGCCACUAACAUUCAUAUAUCUUUACCAUAACAUUUAGUACGAGUUUGCUUAAGCAAAGAUCUCCAAAUUUAUUCAUAGCUACAUGUAUCUCAGAUUGCACAUCACUUAUCAUCAGUCAAUAAAUCCCACUUUAGAAUACUCUUUCCAUAUUGUAUAGUAACUUCACCAUAUAGUAUCACGACACUCUGUUCCUCCAUUCUACUAUCAUGUAUACUCCACAAAAUUUAAUUAGAAGAUUCACGUACCUUAACUAAUGCUAAUUCCAUUUAAUCAUAUCUUAAAUACUCCAAACUUGUAAAUUACAACUCCAAAUGUAUGUCCAUAUAUUGAUAAUCCUUAUAUAUUUCAUGAAAACUACAACUUACAAACUAGCUUUCUAUCAUAUGCACACUAUUAGAACAUUAACUUCAACAUGUUUAAUUCUCCUUUGGUGAUAUGUUAAGAUCAUUCCUGGAUACAUUUUCAUAUUAACAUUGAUAUGCCUUUACCAUAGCAUUUAGUGCAAAUUUGAUAAAGAAAUUGUCUCCAAAUAACCCUUAAAUACAUAAUUAUCAAAUUGUAUACCACUAAACAUCAAGAUCUUGACUUUAUUCAUCAAUAAUCAAUCACAUUUAUUAAGUGAAUAAUUUACUUAGUUAUUACACCUUGCCUUUGCAAUCAUAAGAUCAAAGUUGUCCUAAACUUAGGAUGCAGAAGUUCUUUAUCUUAGAGUAUAUCCAAACAUCAACAUUUUCUAAAUUCCUUGCUCUGAGGAGAUCACCUUUAAGACUGAUCAUUCAUAUUAUAGGCCACACUUUGAACCGAAUAAACUUUUAAAUUGAUCUUUCAAGUAAUUCGUAUAUCAAUCUCAAUUAUAGAACUUCAUAUGGCACUUAGACUAGAUUCGACAUUUCUAAGUCGUUUAACCUCAAGUUGCUAAUAACACAUCUAGUCCUUUAGUCCCUUGGCUCCUCUUUACUAUGCAUAACAAACUUCAAGCUCAUCCUUAGAGCAGAUUUGUUUACUAACUUCUUACUUCAUGACCACACAUCAAUUAUAGUAAUCAUUAGUACUCACUCUUGAGUUAGUUCACAUGCUUAUAUCCAUGAACUAUAAUAGAUCCAAUCAAUUUUUAAAAUCUCACAAUCACUUAAUUGAAAUCAACACCACUUUUAUAUGGGCAUAACAUGCUCAAUUAACAUAGUGUUUUUAUCUUCAUGCACAUAUGUAUGAAUUUACUCUUACCUCAAUGCUUAAUUUGUACACUCUACCAAAUGAAUAAAUUAUCACGGCCUAUUUGUCCAACUCCAAAUUUCUUCAUCCAUAAUCGGAGGGAUAUAUCAUUUCAUUAAUCUUUCAUUAAGAGCAUUCGUUUUAAGAUCUCUCCAACACUGGCUCGUGGCACGGGUGGCAUCUUAAACCCGAACAACGGCCCUACUUAUGACCUUUGCAUGACAUUAACAAGGAAGUGAAUUACUGAGAACAGGAGUUCCUAUAGCUCCCAUAAGAUCUAUAAGAAAAAUCAAAACAACUUUAAACAACUCCAAAUUCUAUAUACAGAUGCACGUAUUCUAUUCUACCUAACUUGACUUAACUUAACUAACUUAACUUGGGCCAUGCAGUGUCAGUGUGGAUUUCUUAAAACAACUUUAAAACCAAAAACUUUAAAAUCCAAAGCUUUAAAAUGAAAAUUUAUGAUCUUUAAACCAUGCUCUGAUCUCACUUUGAUUGUCACGACCCGAAACACCCAUCAGGUCCGUGACAACCGCCGCGACGUCUCGAUAGGCACUCAUUACCCCAAAUGCCGAUCGGAACCCCGCAUGGCUUAGCAUCAGCUUCCGCAUCUCCCUGGUGAGCGACAGUUAUUAAAUCUUGCAUUUCAAAAAAAUCAUAAGUCGUUUCCAAAUCAAAACAAUAAAAUAUUAUUUUUUGGCUCACAAGGGCAUUUUCGUCAUUUUUCUUCGAUAAUACCGAAACUCACCAAAAACGUGGUGUGAAAGCUUAAUAUGUUCAUACAUAUUUUAAAUCAGAUAACUAAAGUAUAAAAUUACUUUUACAAUGACACAUGGGCCCCCAACUAACUAAUAAGAUGCGAGUCUGUGAACCUAUAAUUUUGACAAUGCAAGGUUAACUGAAGUCCUUGAUGCAAUCAGCCAUCUAUCGGCUAUCCCGAACCUGAAAUGUGGGGAAUUGAGGGUGGUGAGAUUAUAAAAUCCCAGUAAGUAAACAAACACCAUCUAAACUAUCUAAAGGCGAGUAAACGGAGACAAUUAAAAAAUAAUUAACUUCAGCAAAUUUUUCACAUCACGAAUAUUCAUUUCAACCAAAUAAUCAAUAUGGCUCGUGAAUUACUCAAAACUUGGCUCAUGACAAAUCCUGUACUCAGUGACACCUGGACCAGGGGUAUCCAACCGAGCCCGCCAAGGUUGUUAAAAAUUCAUAUUUCGCAUAAAUCAUAUUUUUAUUUUGAAACAUAGCCGUUCCUUGGCGUUGGCUGAGUCUCACUCUCACGCGGUGGUCCACGUGAAGUGCACUCAAAAAGCUCACCUUAGGAGAUACCCUACGCACCUCUACGACCGAGGUGAGAAUAUAAAGGAGUUUACCAUGCCCCUUUAAUAGGCUAGCCCAAGGAACCCCCCACUACUGCAGUAGCUAAUCUUUUAUCUACCACCUGAUUUAUAAAAUCUUUUUCUGCAUAACAUGGCAAUUUAUCGCAACCUAGCCUCUCAAGGCUAAAUACAUAGUACAAAUAAUUCUAACACCAAAAUCAGUUUAGCCAUUCAUGCUCAUUUAUUGUCAUAAGCCAUUCAAUUUAAAACCAUAAAUUUACAACACAAGCAAGCAGUCUCCAAUUACUCUAUUUUCAAAACCAGUAUUCGAUUUUUCAGAAAAUUUAUAAAAUCAUUUUAUAAAUCACAAUUUCUCUUAAAACAUUGCAAUUUACCAUUUAAACCCAUUUUUCAUAAAAUCACACAAUUGUAUAAAACUACUCUAGAUAAUUAAGACGAUAAUAAGUUUACUCACAGUUUUCGAAAACUAAAUUCGGGUACUCCAACUAUUACUCCUCGGGUGCGAUUUCUUUGCCCUUGCCAAAGGAUUCGCCACC
rnacentral:lncRNA from 1 species